rnacentral:sRNA from 1 species
CAGAUGGGAGAGAGGGGUCAGGGUAGCUGCUCCUGCUGCUGGCUGCCUCCCUGGCCCCAAGGCAGACCCAGGCAGCAGAGUUCCUGUCCAGUCUCUGGGAGCCCUGAUUCAUUACUGUGGGGUACAUGGAUGGCACACAGUUAAAUCGCUUGGAUAGCGACCCGGAGAAUCCCAGGAUGGAGCCAGGGAUGUGGUUGAUGGAGCUGCCAGGGUCAGAGUAUUGGGAUCCCGAGAAGCAGAGAGCAAUGGCUGUGGACCAGACUUACCUGAUGAAUUUGAGGACAGCCCUGCACUACUACAACCAGAGGAACCAGAGAAGCAGUGAGCCAAGGCUGAGGACAAGAAUUACCCUGAGAACUUGUGGACAGCCCUGCAGUACUACAACCAGAGCAAGGGCGGUGGCCGGUCCCUUUCAAUUUGCACUGGAAUAAUAGGACCUAUGUGCCCUGUCUCAGUUUGGCCCUGUCUGAGUUUGUCCCAAACCUGAGGGACACAAGGGGACCCAAGACCUGGGACCCACUUUCACUUUAAGUGAAGGGAUUCCUAGGUCUGGGCUAACCCAGGAGUCCCUAGGGCUCUCACACUCUCCACAGCUUGAAUGGCUGUGACUUGAGGUCUGACCAGAGCUUCCUCUGAGGGUAAUGGCAGCUCGCCUAUGACUGUAAUAGCUUACAUCGCCCUGAAGGAAAACCUGAAAGUAUGGACCGCGAUGAACACGGCUGGACUGAUUACCGGACACAAGUGGGAGCAGGCUGGUGCUGCAGAACUUUACAAGGCCUACCUGGAGGGCUAGCUCCUGGGGUGGAUGCUCACUUACAGGGAGCACUGGAAGGAGAAGCUGCUGUGCACAGAGAUCACCAGUCGGGGGCCGAGAAACACUGUCAACCUUCGUAGGUGACAAGACUUAAUGUGCAGAAGGAGAAGUUCCUGUACCUCAAAAGAGCGUCCAUCCAUGGGGCCACAAGAGAACCUAACAGGUGCCAAAUACUGUACAAAUGCCUGGGAAUCAUUAAGAGACAGUCAAUAAGAAACAUCAAGGUUAACACAAAUGAAAAUGCAGAAGGAACAAGCAGCUGAAAGCUUUGUAAAUGAAGCCACCAUCUUUCUGAUAAAUUAAAAGAGAAAUAGAAGAAGACCCACUGCCGCGUGCAGGCUGACCAAUUCUGCUGUCAUCCAGUUUCAGAUCCAGCAGGUAGAGUCAGUCCACCCCAACAUCUCGUCCAUCUAUGAGCUGCCAGGUCAGGGGGAGGAGCCAUGGCUGCAGAACCAGAUCCAGGAGCAGAUCCUGAAGCAUGGCUGUGACUGAAGCUGCCUCCCCCCUGCAGCCUGCAGUGCUGUAGCCCAGGAUAGUCAUGGAGGCUCCCUUGAGGUGAGGGCUGGAGAGGAGUCUGCAGAGACCGAGUGUCUCUGGAAACACUAGAGAAGGGAAUGUCCAGGGAAAGACGCCUUUGCACAGUGAACUCACAAAAUUGGAAGGAGAGAUGGAGGAACAGAGCUAGGUGUCAAGGGUGGAAAGAAGCAACUAAGGACUGAGAUGCUCUGGUCCACGCUGAGCCAGAAACUAAACUUGCCUGCAGCUGAGCUGCUGACUACAAAGGGCUGGUCUCAGGAGCCAGGCAGGGUCUUCUGGUCCAGUAGGAAAAUCUGCUCUGCACACUUGGCCCUCUUUAUCUCCAGCUCCCAGUACUCAGGCUCCUCCUGCCAUAUCCAGGAAGCCCUAGGUUCGUAAUCUCUUGUCCCUGUGGAAGCUCACCAAAUGGUUGUUGUCCCCCUAGCCUUCCAAGGACCAGGGCUCCUCCAGGACAGGGCAGUGAGGACAUACCACAGUGAGUGUGAUCCUGUGGAGUGUAGGGGUGAGGCCCAGACCUCCUCCAGGGACUCCAAGGGAAUGCAAGGGUCUGAAGGGGAAUACUGCACAUGACUGGGGACACAGGUAGAAAAGUGUCAGGUGGUGUGGUCAGAAACGUAGGGGCGUGGCUUCCCCAGUGGCCACUCCCCCUCUGCUCUACAGAGACCAUUUUCCUCCCCCUCCCUGCUUGUACUCACAGGUGCUAUACUGGAUAGGGACCAGGGAAGCCACCAGGUAAGCAGAUCUCGAUAUGUAGGGCAGGUUUGAUUCCUGGGGAUCUGUGCAGACUUUAUAACUCAUGCCCGUAGACAAGCUGGCUGCUUUGUCAGAAUCUCCCUAUCGAAUGCGGGUCAUUAUACCCAACUUGUCAUCAGUGCCAGUGCAGAAGGACUUCACCGAGGGUGGGGAUGGGGCAUGAGACUAGGGAGAUGGGAAAGAGCUUGCUAUGUCUACUCCAUCCCAGACCUCAACAUCAGACUUGUCCAGACCCUGUGAUGCUGGAGAGAGCACUGGCAUGUCCCCUUCUCCCCACACCUUUCCUAAUCUGGAAUUGAGAGGAGACCUACAGGAAAAUCUUAUUUCUUCAUCUCCUUCCUCCUUCCUCUUCUUCUUUCCCUUCCUAUCAUAAGACCCCAAACUCUGGAUUUUAAAGUUAAUUACAUUACUGUAUGAGCAUGUGCCCAUGUACAUACAUGUUUUUGUGUAUGCGUGUGUGUAUGUGAGUGUAUGUGCGUGUCUGUCUGUCUGUCUUUUUGCAUGUGUUCCCAGCCAUCAUCUGACUGCAGCACAGAUGUGGAUUUCAGAGGGAAAUUGCCAAACCUGGUUCUCUUAUUCACCUGGUUUGAUCUCUGGGAUAGCAUUGGUGACAAGUGCUUUCUAAACUAAGCCACUAAACUUGUCUUCCAGCUCCAUAUAUGUUUUCCUCUAGAGCUGUAGGAGUUUUACUUCAAGCACCUGAGAGCAAGAUCUAUGUUUAGCAAGGACACUUUCUUUUAAUGUAAGGUUUAAUUAGUCAAUCACACUAAAAAUGACUGGUGGUUGAAGCAAUUGUAACGUGAUCUCGGGUUACAUGAGUUCUCAUGAUUGGAGGUGAGAGUCAUUCUUGCCCACCCAAAUUGUCCAGCCCUGCAGAAUGGUGGCAUGCCUGCCCAACUCAGCACCAGGCAUCCCACCCCUAGCUCAACUCACUGACCAAGGGAACAUUUGCAGAAGCUCCAGAGCCUUCAGCACUUUCUAUCUUAGAAUAACAAACCAUAAAGUUAAAGGAAGAAGCAGGGGAGGUUAAAAAGCUUAGUGGGAAACCUGGUGACCAACCAAUGAGCUCUUGAAUAUUUGUAUGCUAAUUUUUCAGCAGUCACUGUUAUUGGCCUACUCCAUCUCACAUAUUCUAAUGAGAUUGACAAAGCAAGCUUGCUGGAGUCAUGUCAGUCACUAAACAGUCAGUCAUAGACAGAACUUGGUGCAGCACAAGGCAAAUGAUCUGCAGGGAUUCCCGGGACCUAUUUUCUAGAGCUUUUCUAGAGCAAGUUAAAAGAUCUAAUGUUCACGAUGACCAGAGAUUCUUCUUCUUGGCAAGCAGAUCUGGGGUCAAUAUCAGGUGGGAAAACCAGGAAAGCACAGUUUGGGGAGGAGACAGGUCAAAGUCCCAUGCAGCCAAGUUCUCAAUGACGUUUUCCUAGUGGAGGUCAGCAUUUCUUUUCUGAAAUCUCCAUUGACUAGCAGGACUCAGCUCUCAUACCCUUGCCUUUUCUUGUCCUGGAGAUCUGAGCCUCAUGCAGUACCCUCACUUCCUAUACAGAAGACAUCAUGGGCACCCUGAGUAACAUGGGUGGUCCUCUAAGGCCAAUCAUGCAGGGUACCUCAUACCUCCUGUCUAUUUUGAAAAUGAAGUCUGUAGUUUUCAAUUGCAAAGUGCUCUGUGAAAGUCCUUGUGGGGAGGUCUAUGCAAUGGAUGUGAUACUGAGUGAUCAUGGUAGACUCCACUGUCCCUCUGGUAAAGCAGACACCUGCCCCUUCCUUCCUUCCUUCCUUCCUUCCUUCCUUCCUUCCUUCCUUCCUCCCUUCCUUCCUCCGUUCCCUGUACUCUGCCUUGGCUUUAAGAACUGCCUUCUCAAUGGAUGGAACUGGAAAAUAUCAUCCUGAGUGAGGUAACCCAAUCACAGA